AGUGCAUUUUUAUGGAAGAUAUGCUGAUUGAAUGAAUUUGUAAUGCAGAACAUGCAAAAGCUAAUGUUAGUGUUACUGGAUAACUGGCAUUUUAUAAAAAUGAGGUAGUUUAUAGUGCCAGUUAACACGGGCACAUUUAUCUGGAUUAUUUGUUUGCUAUUGAUAUUUGAAUAGCAGUGUAUUCCAGUUGUUAAUAGAUCAGGUAUGAAGAGUCUUUCUUGCCUAAAUGCCUAAAAUAUGUAUAUGAGAGUCCUUUUGAUGCAAUAAAUGUGGUGCUAUGUAGUCAGUUUAUACUGCUGAUGUUUAAUACACCAAACAUGGAACUUAGGCCCUGCCCUAGAUUUUAUGAAGCUUGAUGUGUGUUCAUUCCUCUCUCUGGGCCUUCCUAACUUCUGCAUAUUAAAACAUUCCUCAAGCUGUCAACCAAACCUGUAGACUACUAUGUAUUAUGUAAGCAAGCCAGGAGUACAAGAGGCGCAAAGGGGGGAGCCCUUAAAAGAUUUUAGGCAGCAGUCUCGCCAUGCAAGCUCAUAUUACAGAAAGGCAAGCAAGAGAAAUCCGCCCCAGUUCUUUGAAAGCAAGCUGUUUGGCAGCUCUUAAACUAGAGCUGCCAACUGUUAAGCUGCAGGUUUUGCUGCUCCUGGCUAGAUGGCCACAUCUGCAUGUGGCAUGGAACCAAGGCAGCUGUUGAGAUUCUUAUGAUUGACUUGAUUCAUGGAACUAGUACGUGCAAGGGAAGUGGUUUAAUGACAAGGAUCUGCUGCAAGAUAAAGUUUCUGAUCUGUAUUUUGAAAUCUACACAUAUGACAAUUCAGCAUAUAGCAUUUGCUACAUGAGGGCUUGUAUUGAUUUAGCCACUGAGAUCAAAGUAUAUAGCUAAAGCUAAUGAAGCAUAUUGCUGAAACAUGCAUCCAAGACAAGGCAUUCCAGCUAUUUGUUAUUUGGAAAGAUCUGAAGUUUCAAGCUGCUUAAUCUAAUUAACAUUGCUGCUGGGGGCUCAGGGGAACAUAUCUAACAUAUUACCUAAUAUGAUGUGCUCAUUUCCAUACUAUUGACCUUUUUUAACUGAAGAUCUCAAGUUCACUCGGGGGAAUACAUUAAUAGAAAAUCUUUCUGAUAGGGAAAGCCAACAGAAGACAAUCUCCCUCAUACCCCAAGAUGUGUUUUCCCAUUUUUUGAGGAACACGAGGAUGUCGUGACUUCAGUCUGAAAAGGGUUUUCGAAGUUUCUGUUAGUAAUUUUGAAUUGUGUUCCAUUAAACGUGAUUAUCACUAAUUUUGCAAGAUAUUUAAUUCUAUGUUUUCCAGAAGUUGGUGGCAUUUCAAGAUUUCUCACCUGGUUAUGUUUGUGGAAGUUUGUCAUGCCAGCACACAAUGUGAAGCUAGAGUUCAAAUGAAAGCUCAGACUGAUAUUAUGUGCUUGGACCAAAAUGUUAUCACUGAAAUGUUUAUAGCUAGCUACUGACAAAAAUGGCCUGAUAUUUUCUUUCCAACAACCACAGCUCCUGCUGGCAGAAGUUGGGCCACACUGUAGGUGCCUGGGGUGAUCAAGAGGCAAAUGUGAUGAACUGCAACCUGUUGCUUACAACUGACUUAAACUGCAAGAACUGCAAAAUCUGAGGAACUAGCUACACUGAAUGUAAGAAAGAAAUAUCCUAUUGCAUAAAAACUGCAUUACUUGAAAUGGGUUAUAAGCAAGAAUUUAUUAAAUCAAGCCUCAAGGUGAACUGCU